CACGUAGGGCGCAAGCGUUGUCCGGAAUUAUUGGGCGUAAAGAGCUCGUAGGCGGUCUGUUGCGUCUGCUGUGAAAACCCGGGGCUUAACCCCUGGCUUGCAGUGGAUACGGACAGACUAGAGGUAGGUAGGGGAGAAUGGAAUUCCCGGUGUAGCGGUGAAAUGCGCAGAUAUCGGGAGGAACACCGACGGCGAAGGCAGCUCGCUGGGACGGUACUGACGCUGAGGCGCGAAAGCGUGGGGAGCGAACAGG
rnacentral:rRNA from 1 species